CCUUUCUUUCUUCAAUUUGUGCACUCCAAACUUCCAGCCACUAGUGCACUUUUUGAAAAAAACUGUAAAACUUUGGACCUUAACGAUUUGCACUGAAAUCGGGCCGAAACUUUGUAAUAUUUCAUUACAAUUAUUUAUUUGCUGAAUUUAGAUUCAUUUGUGAAACAAGUACACUAGUAGCUUUCUCAUGAUAUGGCAAACAGAGUGUACUCUCUCACUGCUUGCUCGCCAUUAUCGGACCCUUUUCAGAACUUGCGCUAGAUGUUCAGCUUUGGACGUUGGUAAGAAGCUUCAUGCUUCCAUCGUCACCACAGGUCUUGUAACUUGUCAAAAUACAUUUCUCCGUAAUGCUAUUCUCCACAUGNN
rnacentral:lncRNA from 1 species